rnacentral:rRNA from 1 species
UACGUAGGGUGCAAGCGUUAAUCGGAAUUACUGGGCGUAAAGCGUGCGCAGGCGGUUAUUCAAGACAGAUGUGAAAUCCCCGGGCUCAACCUGGGAACUGCAUUUGUGACUGGAUGACUAGAGUACGGCAGAGGGGGAUGGAAUUCCGCGUGUAGCAGUGAAAUGCGUAGAUAUGCGGAGGAACACCGAUGGCGAAGGCAAUCCCCUGGGCCUGUACUGACGCUCAUGCACGAAAGCGUGGGGAGCAAACAGG